UGUGUUGACACGCUCUGCACCUUGCUCCUGCCCUCGCCUUUCACUCUUCUUAUCCCCCCGAUACCCCGAUCAUUCCUGACAGCUCCUGAGUGCCUGGAUUUCAUCAUCCAGCCCUGCAGGAUGCUCCCAUUUGUCCUGAGGAAGGCUGUCCCAGACGGAGAGGAGGAGAUGGAGGUGGAUACAGAGAUUGAUAGAGAGGAGGACAUGGAGAUGAAGGGAGAAGGCACUGGAGAGGAGGAGAUGGAGGUGGAGGUGGAGGUGGAAGAGGAGAUGGAAGUGGAUAUGGAAGAGUCCAUUGAGGACAUGGACAUUGAUUGAAAAGGACCAGUGGACAUCAUGGAGAGAGAUGCCACCCUUUUGUACAUAUGUUUUAGGCUUUGUUGUUGUCUUUAGGAUAUAGGUUUUAGGGCUUUUUGUCUUCUGAAAAUAUGUUUUCUUUCUUUUUUUUUUUUUUUUUUGAUAGGUUCUUCUCUAUAUAUGUUCUAUCGACUGUUGUUGUUGUUACACAUAUUCUUACAAUGUAAAUAUCUUCUGUAUUUUUGCUACUGUUCUUCUGUAAUAAACAAACUUUACUUUUCACACCCCAGUUCUCUUUGCAUUUGCUUCAGGCACAGGCAGCAUUUUGCAAAGUUGUGCUUUCCACUGGCUCCAGGUUGCCAGGGCUGGAGGUCCCUGGCACAGCCUCCCCAGGAGUGGGGGUCCCUGUGCACAGAGGG